UCCCGGCUAGCUCAGUCAGUAGAGCACGAGACUCUUAAUCUUGGGAUUGUGGGUUCAAGCCCCACGUUGGGCA